rnacentral:lncRNA from 1 species
UGUUCAAUUCCUGCAGUACGUGUUGAUUUCCACACCGUACAAUAGUUAACAUCUAUCCAGCAGCAGCUUGCCGUACACGGCCGCAUGAAUAGCUGAUACGGGCGAUGAAGGCCGGGCAGACGGGUGGAGAACUGUAGCUCGAGGCAUCGGGUCGGGCUAGCGGCGAGACGGUGACUCCACGGCUGGUUCCGCGCCGGAGUGCGUGGCACCGUCGAGGU